UGGACUUCUUCCCUUCCGAGGAACUACCGCAUAGCACGGGACGCUCUCCUUGCUCGUCAGUUAUGUUCCCAGUUGUGACCGGCGUUUGAAGUUACUGAAGCAGAACUCACACUUUUGGGACACCAUAUACACACUCAAAUGAGAAAAGCUGGGCUUGGAAUCAGUAAGAUUCAAAUUUAUCAUCUUAUACUCCUUAGCUAUGUGACUCAGGAUCUCUACUUAAAGGCUCUAAAUGUCUUGGGGAUUGAUGCAAACAACCCAAGGUCAUAUGCAAAAGGAAGUAUCUGAAGGACAUCACCAUUCAUAUCCACCUCAACCUGAACUCUGACCUAGAUCUCCACCAGCACAGUGGCAAAUACUUUUGGUGAGUAUCACAUCUCCCUGCAUCUUUCUUUGCCUGAGGGUUAUAAUCAGAUUACUGAAUAAGAAUGUUUUUGUUACACCUUCCAAGAAAUCUUAAAUUAUCUUGAUAUAUCAAAUGGAGACAUAUUGUUGUAAAAGAGUCUAUCAGAAAGAAUUUUGUUCAACAGUGAGCACAAUAAUAGAACCUUCUACUUACUACAUCUUUCAGUCAAUCACUAGAUGGUAAAUAUGUGAAUCAUUUAAAAAAAUCUUUUGUGAAAACCUGCUUAUUCUUUAAUAAUGUUUUCAUGGAGAAUGGCUUCAAUUCAUUCGUAGAUUUUGUAAAAAUUUUGUAAAGACUUUGUAAAGAUGGGAGAAUAAGUGUAAAAGUCAAUAGUUACUGAUGUUCUUUCAUUCACUUUUUGAAAGAAGUGUAUAUUAAUAAGGUUCAAAUUUUUUUCCAUGACUCUGAUCUCUCUCUCUGAUGGCAUGGCCCCUCGAUGCCAUCACAAUUGUGUCUUCCCUAGCACAGAUCUCCCUUAUAUAUACUUGAUUCAGUCCUAAAAUGUUUCUCAUUCUCUUUAGUGCUAUUCCUGCCUCAAGGAUUGCAACAUUAAGUUUCAAGUAUGAUGGUACCAUAAGGUGGAAAAAUAAGUCAGCUGAAAUAUUUUUUUUAAAAUCUCCAUUUUCUUUCUGUUUGUAAUCUUUUCAUUUUCAUCAUUGGGUGCUCUUAGAAUGAUCUGGCUUAUUUAGGUAUCUUGCUAAGAUUUCUUAAAACUGAUUUUACCCUCCACCGCUUCUUUCUGCUUAAAAGACAAAACUUCUCAUAAUUGCCCAUCAUCCUUUGUAAAAUUUUAUAGACAAGUUAAUAUUUUAACUUGGCAUUAUCCUUGAUAGUCAUCUCCUUUCCAUAUGGCAAACAAGUCAAAUGUUUGCUAAAGUGGGCUCUUUAAGUCUCCUUGUUUUGCCAGUUCUUUUAUUUUGAAUAAAUUUCUUAACAAAAUUACUAUAACUAAUGCCAAUGUCACUUCUAUAGUCCAUUUCAUAUUUCUUUUCCUUUUUUUUUAACCUUUAAAACCCUAACCUUAGAAUCUUUACUAAGUAUUGGUUUCAAGGCAGAAAGGUGGUAAGAGCUAGGCAACUGGAGUUAAGUGACUUGCCCAGGGUCACAUUGCUAGUAAAUGUCUGAGGCCAGAUUAGAACCCAGGACUUCCUGUCUUUUGGCCUGGCUCUCAAUCCACUGAGCUACCUAGCUGCCCCCUAAUAUUAUUCUUAUUAUAGGAUUAACCAGAGAAUAAUAGCACUUGUGCUUUUCAAGACUGUGGAAGAAACAGAAACUUUUUUAAAAAUUAUCCUAAAAAUAAAGAAAAAGUAGUGAUGGCUUGAAUACCUACUGGACCAGAACUCUGAGAUUUAUUAUUUGAUUGGCUUGUUUGGAGAAAAUUGUUUCAUCUCACUAACUCUAUAUAACAGGAUGACUGGUUAAUGAAGGACUGAUUCAUACAGCAUACUGAAUAUGCUCUACCUGGUAUCAUCAACAUACAUGAAAGUUUAGUGAGCUUGCUUCUGGGCCUACAUAUAAGAAGGCCUUCUUCCCAAUUCAGGUUAUACACAGACAUCUUGUUUCUUGUUGCCUUACAGCGUGGUGACAGAAAGUCUUAUAAUUGGAUACUGAACUAGAACUGAUUGUGCAAACAAAAUCUGUCCUCCCUCUGUUCCUCCAUCUCUCUCACUCUCUCCUUCAAAUGAGGAAGAAAAAUGUUGCAGGCCUCUGGGUGAGAAUCACUGCUACAAAUGCCUAAUCAGGCUACCAUGCAAUCUUGAACACAAGAAGCUUAUGUUUCUUCUUUUCCUUUUGUAUUUCUUCUUUCCUAAUCCUAGGUUGAAUGAGUAUUGGAGAUGCAACCUCAUGAGCUUCAAAAAUUCUCAAAGCCUACCAACAACUUGAGUCUAUAUAACAGAGUUUGCAAGUUGUGCCUGGUAAAAAGCAACCUGCUUGACUCAGUUCAGUGAUGAAGUAAUCAAAAAUCUUGAGACCCAGUAAGCAAAGGAAAAAUUCAUCCAUUAGCUGUGUCAAUCCUUGACAUGAAUUUGGUUGGCUAGAGGGGGGAGAGGGUUGUUGAUAGUAAUCACUUUAAGUCUGAGUCCAUCCUCCCCACAAACUGAAGAGGAGUAGACACUUAGUUUGGGAGUAUUUUGCACUUUUGUUCUUACUUUAUCAGUAAAGAUUCUUAUUAACCUAGCUGUAUAGAAACAAAUAUACUGUGAUUAUAUAUAAAAUAGCUUUUUAUCAGUAAAUAUUUCUACCUAGUAAAAUCUGAUUGAAGUAGGAGAUAUAUCAAGUAGUCAGUUGGUUACUGAUAUAUUAGCUGGGUAAAUGAUAAUGGCAGAAGAUAACAGGAAGGGAUUUGUGAGUGAUAACACUAGAGAAAGACACUCCCAAUAUCUCAGGGUUGGCCCUAGAAUUCCAAGCUCUGGGGUCCCAGAACUGCUAAUCUGAGUUAGGGAUGGGAGAAUAAGAGCCUAUGUGUGUACGCCAUCUCUAAAAGACAGACUAUAUAUGUACUCUGUAUGCAGAAAAACUAUUGUUGAAAGAGUAAGACUCAAGGGAUGUAGUUGACAUUUGUUUUUUACAGUUGCUAUAAGACCUUAGAGAUCAUCUAGUCCAGUCCCCUAAUUUUACAGGCAAAGAGACAGAAUUAGAGAGAAGGGAGGCAAUACGGUACAACCAAUCUAAAGAAUGCUAGAUUAAGAGUAACAAGUCUCAGCCCUUCCACUUACUAUCAGUAUGAUGUGAGCAAGCCACAAAGCUUCCAUAGGUUUCCGUUUUUUCAUCUGUAAAAUGAAUAAGUUGGACUAGAUAACCUCUGAGGUUCCUUCCAGUUCCAUUAUCCUAAGUACCUUGCUUAAUGCCUUAUAGGAUACUGUAAUUGUCAAUAUGCCACAGACUCAUGAACUUUGAGAUAGGCAUUAUUAUCUCCAUUUUAGAGAUGAUGAAAUGAAAGAUGAAAAAUUUUAAGUGACUUACCCAAGAUCAUAAAGUAAACUGUGAAGCCAGAACAUGAACCAAGGACUUUUAACUCAGUCCUUCCCUAUAAUACCACACUGUCACUUAGAGAAGGGCCAUGUGAACUUAUAAUCUGAAGUUCCUUCUUGAGAGGUGAGGUGAUGUUUUGGAAAAAGCACUGGAUUUGGAGUCAGAGAGUCAAGGCUCAAAUCUUGAAUGACUUUUGAAAAGUCAUUUUAACCUCUAUAUCCUUGGUUUCUAUAACAGUUAAAUGAAGAGGUUGGGUUAUUUGAUUUCUAGUUCACUUCCAGCUCUAAAUGGUUAUGAACUCUGUGAACUCUUUUUAAUAGUGAUACCUAUGACUCCCUUUAAAUCAUUCAGACUGUAAAGAACAAGUCAUACUGGAAGUUACUGGGUCUGAAAAUAGCAUGGUGGUUUGCCACAGAGAGCCCAGGGAAUUGGGUGGCAGACAAUUAAUAAAAAACAAAAAAACAGCAGGGAAACAGCCCAAGGGAAAAAUAUAGGUGAGAGAGACACCUAGGAAUGCUAAUAGAGCUAUGAGCAGGAGCUCACCAAUCUGCUUGGAGAGCCUUGGGACUGAGCCUAGAAACUCAACAUCUCCGUAAGUGAGAAGCAAAGAGUAGGGGGCUUCUCCUGCAAAAAGAUAACAUUAAGGAAAGGAGGGCAGAAGAGAAAGAGGGAAGGGAGGUUAGUGUGCUGGAGGUGGGACAGGGAGCCCUUGGAGUGUAUGACUGCUAGCUGCAAACAGAGACUGUUUCUAGGACAAGGGUAUAAGCAAGAUAAGACUACCACCUUCCCUAUAUACACCUCAACCUUCUUCAGCUACAGAGAGACAACAGGCUAAAGAUAGAAGAUUGCACUAAGACUAGAGUGCUGGGCCUGGAGUCAUAAAGACUUGAGUCCAAAUCCAGCCUCAGAUACUCAUAUGACUUACAUGCCUUCCUUAAUGUUUUCCACUAUAAAAUGGAGAUAUCAGCAUCUACCUUUCAAGAGUUUUUGUGAGAAUCAAAUGAGCUAUUUGUAAAGUACCUAGCACACAGUAAGCACUAUAUGUAAAUGCUUGUCCUGCUUCUUCUCCUACCUCUCUCCCUCCCAGCAGAAAUGUUCAUUUGUUUCAAAGCUUAUCUGUUUCUUUAAAGUUUUUAUUUUUUACUAGUGUUCAUUUAAUCUUUCAAAAAUUGGUGUUAACCCAAAGCAUUAUUACUCCACAUGCAUUUCAUUUGUUCAAAGACUGCUGAAAGCAGCAAGAUUUUCUUUCCAAAUUGCCAGAAUAUCUGUCUGGGGGAUGGAUAGAAUAAUGAGUUUUACUGAAAGGAUAUUAUUCAACUCCCUACAAACAGCUUAAAAAUUAAUCCAGACUGUGAAUUCCCCUGGGCAAACAAUGAGUCAAAAUUCCUGUCAGGGGAAAAGAGGACUGGUAAAUAGGGAGGUGGAGUCAUUCUCUAGAAGGCCUUAGUGGUCUUCCUUGUGGUCCCAUUUCCCAGAGCAAAUUAAAGGAAACAACUCUCCCACAAGGCAUAGACUAAAUCAGUGACUAGAGAAUACCUUGGUUAAGUGAGCAAUUCAGAAAGAGUGGGAAGCCACAAAAGGAUGGAAGGAAAAGAACGGGCAUUUAUUAAGUAGUACUACAUGUCAAGCACUGUGUAGAGGAGUAGAGCUUAUUCUGUUCUCACAAAAACCCUGGAAGGUAAGUGCUAUUAUUACUCCCAUUUUAUAGUUGAGGAAACUGAGGUAGACAAUGGUUAAGUAACUUGCCCAGGGGCACAUAGUUAGUAUCUGAGGCUAUAUUUGAACUCCGGUCUUCCUGACUCCUGUUCUAGUACUCUAUCCCAUUGUACUACCUAGCCAAAGAAAUAAAAGUAAAUAAUUUUCCCACUAAGCCAAAUACAUCCAACCCCAGUCAACCUAAGAGACAAAAAGGGAUCCACAAGACUUGGUGGAAUAAAAAACAGCAAUGAAAAACGAUUGGAAGCUCACAUGAUUACAGAGAGGGAUCCAGAAUAGACCAUAAGGGUUAUCUAGUCCAACUCCCCUAUUUAAAUAUAUAUAGGAGUGGUAGAGGAUUGAUUAGCGAAUUGAUUGGUACCUAAGUUAACUAAAGCAAUAAAUAAGUGGUUACAUUCAUAUCUUGUAAAGAGCAGGAAACCUUCAGUGGCUCAUAUGUUGACUGAUCCAUUCAUUCAUUAUUAAAAGUAUACAACUGGGAAUGGAUCCAUUCAUAGCUUUUUUAAAAAUCCUUACCUUUCGUCUUGGAGCCAAUACUGUGUGUUGGCUCCAAGGCAGAAGAGUGGUAAAGGCUAGGUAAUGGGGGUUAAAUGACUUGCCCAGGGUCACACAGCUGGGAAGUAUCUGAGGCAAGAUUUGAACCUAGGACCUCUGGUCUCUAGGCCUGACUCUCAAUCCACUGAGCCACUCAUCUUCCCUCCCCCCCCACCCCAUUCAUAGCUUUUAAUGGAAAUAUAUUUUAGUUCCCCUCCCCUCAAUCUUUUAAGAGGUGUAUGGAAAUUCCUCAAUCCUGAAGGAAUUACAGGGGGAGAAAUAUUGUCUUGGUGACCUUUAAAAGGCAAGGUUGCAGUUCAGGAGUCUUUCAGUACAAGGGGAACUCUAAUCAGUACAGUUGAGUUAUCUCUGAAAGCUGAGAUUUGCCUAUGAAGAAAAAGAAUUUGGCUCCUAUGAAGGAAUGUCAUUUUAUCUUUUCCUUUAUGCCACCAAAGCUGGAGGGGAGGUGAAGAGGUAAGGGAAUUCUCUUACCUCUCUACCCCUACUAACAAGGGUAUCUGGAAGUGGAACACUGCCCAGCUGACCCUAGCAGGAGACACAAGGCUUACUGAGUAAAGCUGUGGGGCGGGGCAUGGAACUUAGAGAAGACAAUGCACUAUGAGGAUGCCCCAAAAAAGAGGAAAGAAAUUAGAGCUUGAUAGUACUAGAAGUGAGAGUUUCCAAUGCUGUCUUUUCCAUAACUGACCUUUCUGUGUGAGUACCCACUCUGUGCAUUGACAUUAUGUGUAUUUAUAGGAGUGUAUCCCAGAUUUAUGGGAGUAACAAUGCCUUGUUAAUACUGUUGAUGCUAUGCCAUUUUAGUAAAUGCCUUUUUUUAGAAUAAUAUCAACUAGCUAACUAUUAAAGGUUAUAUAUACAGUAUUGGUGGAAGCUCAGAUAAUUUUAGAAGUAUGGACUAUAAAGUACUCUAGUACUUUGAAAUUUUAUAGUAGUAGUAUCUUAUAGGACCCAACCUGUAAAUGUGAUGAGGAGGUAGCUGCAGUAAGAUGUAUAAAUGGAGAUUUUGAACCCUAGACUACAUUCCCAGAAGUCCUUGGUAUUUCCCAGAAUUCUCUAUAAUCUCACCUGAGUUUCCACAUAGGCGAGAUCACAAUUUGAUUUAACUGGCAAUAACACCUCCCACUCUCUCUUCUCUUCUCUUCCUUUUGCAAUGAUGUAGCAAGUAUAGUGGUAAGCUAAGUGUGGGGAUUUUAAAUGGGCUAAUCAGCCAUGGGCUUUUUUUAUUUUGUGUUUUCUUUAUUCCUUGAUUUCGAGUGAUCCUUAAUAAACUUCAUAAAAUAUAAUAUUUUUAUUAUUAGAUAUAUAAUUUUAAAUUUAACAGUUGGCGACCAUAAAGGGACUAGAGAAUAACUCUCAAUUUUUUUAAGAUAGCCUAGAUAAUUUUUUUUAAAGCCACGUUUCUCCUGCCAAGGCUUUUCACCAACCCCACCCACCCUGCCUGCUCCUGCCUCCAGCCAUCCACUUGACUUUCUUAAUCCAGAUCGCUCUCCAAGCCCCAGUCCAGGCCCAGCAACUCUACUCCUGUUCUCUGGCCUCUGAUCCAGAUUGCACCAGGCCAGCCCCAGGACCCAGGCUGCUGGUAACUGCCCCUGUGUCUUUGGAAUCACAAACCAACUGGUAAAAACUGGGGUGUUCUUUCCUUAGGCUACAAUUAGCCUCCACAUGGCAGGGGACCUGGAGGGGGUAGAAAUGAGGAGAAGGAAGAGACUUUUCCAAACAAGAAGUUGAUUACAAGUAUGGCGUAUUCUACGAGAGAGCAGUGAAUUGCCUAUUUCAAAGGAUAUUUUUUGAGUGCACUGAUCCUUUUACUUAUCUUACCUGAGGUUCAGGGGAAAAAAUUUAUCUCCCUGCAACUCUUUGCCAUUUGGGACUGCCCAAUUUGAGAUUCCUAAAACACAUGUUCUUCCUCGAUAUUGGGAAUUCCACAGUACUGACAAAAGGAAUCUCAAUGGAUUAAAAAAAAUGAACUUUAAAGAGACUGGAGGUUAUAUUUUUAAGGCUUUUCAGAUUUCCAUGUUUUAUAAAAAUCUCUGCAUUUUGUUGCAUUUUGCUGAUUAUUUUGUUUAAGAUUUAAUUUUGUUGGUUUUAAAUUCAUAUAUUAAUGUAUUCAAUACUAUUCUGUUACACUGAAUCAUUUUAAUGUACUGGGUUUUAACUACUGUUAUAUUCUGUUGCUUUUCCCCUAUAACUAUACCAAACAAAUAUUAUUGAAUAAACCCAAAUAUAAAAAAAAGUCUUUUUUCUAUUUUGACUUUGUAAAUUGUCACAUAGAGGAUGGAUGGACUUCAUCAAAACUGGUGACAAUUGUAAUAACAACCUUUGGAAAAUUUAAUAGCUAAAUACCUCAAAUUUAUUUUAAGGGGUCUUUAGACAUGAUUUUUAGAUUUUUUUCAACAACUGAUCAUUUUGCCUGCCUCUAACAGGAGGUAAGGCCCAUUUUAGUAGCUGAAGUGAAAUACAAUUAUAAUCCCCACCUCCACAUUUAUAAAAAUGUGAAUGGAUGGGACAUCACAGUCUCAUACCAAAGGAGCUGGGAAGUUAAUCCCAGGGCAUGGUACCCCUGGAUGGCUCCCAAAAAGGGAGCAUCUCUCAUUUAUAAUUCUUCAGCUCACUUUACCCUUUCACCAGAAUGAUCUCUAGAUUCUGGGUAAUAUUUUUAGACCCAACAUCAACAGUACAGAGGUUUUUUCUAGACUGCCACAUUUUUGUAAUGAUGGCAGUAAAGUAAUAGAUUUUUAAAAAUAUCUCAGCCAAGGUAGAAACAUUGCUACACCUGAAAAACUUGUGACAAGCAUCCAUUUCUUUUUAUGUCAUACAGCAACUUAUUUGAAAUAUGUUAGUGGGUUUGUUUGCUAUUAUAAUCAACUGGGAUAUUGUGAAUUUGGGGGAUUUUUGUACUUUUUGAAUGUAUAUUACCUGUUGUACUAUUGUUCUUUAUGAAAAACUGUUACCUUGUGAAAUUCAUUUGCUUGUACUCACAGUGGAUCAUGGCCAGGUAUGAAGACAAAAUGGAUCUCAUUUUUGGUGAGAAACUUUUGUAUUCUACAUGUCCUUAGCUGACACAGUGUCAAUGAGUAUAAGCUAUAUUUUUAAUUAAAAAAACUUUUAUUAUUAUAUUUUCUUGCAUGUGCAAUAUACCAUUUCAGUUUUUCUCUCCUUUUUAUAUUUGAAGCACAUGUCACCAGUAUUAAGAUUUUCUUUAACUUUUUUUGAUUUUGCAGUAAUAAAAGUUUAAAAGAUAUUUGCUAUAAUGUCAAUGCAUACCCCAAAAGCUUGAGACUAUAAAAAUGAUGCCACUAAUUGUUUGAAAAAAUUAUAGGACUUUGCUUAAUGAUUCUGUCUGAUUCCAGGACAAGAGAAUACAAAAAGAGCUAUUGCAUAGUGCCAAAGAAGCACAAAGCUAAACUGCAUAGUGCCAAUAGAGCACAAGGUCAAAGAGACCAACCCCAAUGGGGUUGAUGAAAAUUUUGAGCCAAGACAAGAGGACUUGAACUUGUUUGGGGUUUGAGGUUGCAGUUGUUUAACAUGUGUUAAAGGCAGGUCUUCCUUGUUCCACAUUCUACCAAGUAUCUCAAAUCUGGCUCCUACCUGGCUCCUAAAAAUUUAGUCCCUGUUCUGUCUUUCAUAGUGUGGCAAACUUUCUGUAGUCCUGGCUACUGAUUGAGUAAAUGCAUCAUUGCUUAAAUCAUUUUAAUUGGGCCCUGAUUCAAGGACCUGUUAUAGAUUUAUUUUUUCCUAUACUUAGAAUUUUUACACAUAAGACAUUGAUAGUCUAUAUUUCAUCCAGAAUUUUUUUUAAUUUGGAUUUUUUUAUGUUUUUUUAAUUUCUCUUCCCAAUUGAUUCAUAUACCUCAUAACUCAGCCAUGCAUCCCUAAGUGAUCCCUGUGUUUUUCAACACCCUCUUCAGGGGAGGAAUGUAUAAUUAUUAUUAUUUUAAAUUGCAAAGUUUAAAUUCCUUUUGAGAAUAAUUUUAGGCUAAGAAACAUGCUACCCCUCCGAAUCCAGAAAGUGAACUGUUUGGAGACGACACCAUGAAGAUGCCUCCACAGAUCCAGAGUGAACUUUGGGAUGUGGUGAUUUGAACUGUGUGGGGUUGUAACACAUUUAUUUUGUAUGUAUACUCUUAUGCCAAAGGGGACUGCCCCCUAACUGGCUUUUUGUCAAUGCACCCAGUAAUCAUUGGUUUUGUUCUCUUUUCCUUUUAUUCCAAAAUUAUUGCAAUCUUAAAGUUGAUUACUUUUCCAUGAUCCUUUUGGGGAAACUGGUUUCCCAAUAGGAUCAUAGGGAGUUAUGUAUAAAUGGAGAUUUUGAACCCUAGAUUUCACUCCCCAGAAGUCCCUGGUAUUUCCCAGAAUUCCCUAUAAUCUCACCUGAGUCUCCACUUAGGCGAGAUCACAAUUGGUCCUAACUGGCAGUAACACCUCCCAGGCUCUCUUCUCUUCUCUUCCUUUCUUCAAUGAUGUAGCAAGUAUGAUGGUAAUCUAAGUGUGGGGAUUUUAAAUGGGCUAAUCAGCCAUGGGCAUGUGGUUUUUAUUUUGUGUCUUCUUUAUUCCUUGAUUUCUAAUGAUCCUUAAUAAACCUCAUAAAAUAUAAUAUUUUUAUUAUUAGAGAUAUAAUUUUAAAUUUAACAAAGAUAAGGAAACAAAUUCAGAGAGGUCAAAUGACUUGUCCCCAAAGUCACAUAGAUAUUAAAUGGCUGGGCCAAGUUUUGAAUCAAAGUCCUCUGAGUCCAAAUUCUGUAUUCUCACAAGUAUAGCUAUUCACACUAAGUACAUGCCUACUAGGGGACCUCAGUGACUCUGGGAAGAAACCUGGCAUUGGAAAAUCCAAGUCAACUUUUCCCUUUUUACAUAACACCUUUUAUUUGCAGUGAUUCUAAUAUUAACUCAUCUAUGCAGAUAAAAAAAAAGUCUUGAUUUACCAUAAUUUAGCUAACUUCCCCCUCUAAAGAACUGAAUAUACAGCAACUGCCUUUUAUUACUAAUCUGACAGAGAGCCUAAUAGUCUAGGAAUGUGGGCAGGGCUGCUCUAAUGAAUCUGACAAUUCUAGAGAAAGACCAAAGCGACAGGUUACAAUCACUUUUGGAAAGAAAACUUGAAAUCAUCUCACUUUUUUUUUUCUCAUGCUAAAGUUGAAUGUAUGCGCGCUCUCUCUCUCUCUCUCUCUCUAUUUCUCUCUCUCUCUCUCCCCCUCUCCCUCUCCCUCCUCACAUACUUUUGUUUUGAAAGCUCUCUUUUGCUUAAAAUCUCCUUUUCUUAUCCUAUCAAGUUUUAGUCCUUAGAUUUUAUUGCUCUGCUCACUAUGUUAAUUUAUUUGCACAAGAGCAGAAAUUUUUGCUUACUGAGUUAGAUAGGGUUGUGUCCAAAAUGACUACUACUUAUGAAAUGUGGGAACCAGAAAGUGCUGAUGUGACCACAUAACAAUUUCACCACACUUCCUGAUUUCUACUACCAUAGUAUGGUCUAGUAAGUGAACUAUUUUUGACUUAGCUAGUAAUCUGAACUCCUCCCCCACAAGCCCACAUUGGUUCCUGGACCAAUACCUAACUUAACAGGUUCCACCCAGAGCUUCCCUUAGAUCCACCUUUUGUGGUAAAUGCCUUGCCAGAGCAAUAGGCAAAUCCUACAGAACACCAUAGUGGAAACCCCUUCCCUGACAAAAAAGAAAAUAACUGUGGAUUUGGAGUUCUGUCCAUAUUGGAUGAAGCCAUAGCCAUUGAGUAAAUGAGUUGAAGAUGGACAAAUGUUCAGAGAUGAGGUUUUAUGAAUGCAGUUCUCUAAAAAUAUCUAUGGAGAUCUCUGGUGGAAAAAAGGAUAGGAAAGAAUUAUGAAAAAAUAUAAAGGGUCAAUAAGAUACUCUAGAUUUAGAAGAGGAAGACUAUGAAGAGAUAGAGGGAAAAGAGAAAAUGAAGAAGAAGAAGGUAUUCACCUUGGGAAGAACCCAUGAUAAUAUGCCUACCAAUGUAGAAGACCAACCUCAUAGAAAUUUAAGAUACUGAGUUAAGUCUGUUCAGAGAAUUUCUUUACACAAAACUGCCUCAGGUAGUUCUGAGGGAAAAAUUUUCAACCUGGAGUCACAGAAGAAGACUUAAGCACAAACCAAAAAAGAAAAAAUAUAUUGCUUUUCCAAGGAUUUAUAGAGUUAAACGGGUAGCUAGAUGGUACAGUAGUUAAGAGUACCAGACAAUCAGGAACUCAUUUUCCUGAGUUCAAUUCCUGGGCAAGUCACUAAACCCUGCUUACCUCAGUUCUUCCUUUAUAAAAUGAGCUGGAGAAGGAAAUAGCAGGCUGUUCCAGUAUCUUGGUCAAGAAAACCUCAAACAGUCAGGAAAAGUUGGACAUGAAUGAACAAUGAAAGAAUGUUCAAGAAGAGUCCAUAUGGGAAUAAGGGCCUAUAAUUAAGAAGAAACAAAAAACAACCCCAAAAUCACAGCUAGAGGAACUAACACAUGUAUAGAAAGGACUGCUUGAAUGCUUAAAACCUAUGUCAAGGUGAACAAUGAGACACUGACUUUGUGUACAUGUAUAUAUAGACACACACAUGAUAAAUACAUGAUAAAUAGGUCUAUAUAUAAAUUUCUGGGAAGCCAGAAGGGCUGUAUCCCCAGUGCUUAGCACAGUGCCUGGCACAUAGUAGGUGCUUAAUAAAUGUUUAUUGGCUGACUACUAGAAAUGGAAAUUUAAAAAAAAAAUUUAAAAAAAAGAAAUGGAACUGCCUGAUAAAAGUAAAAUGAUUCCUCAUAACAAUGGAAUUGGGAAAAGAAAUUCAGUCGCUUUUCAAAAAAAAUUUUUUUUUGAGUCUUCACACCAGAAAGUUGCUCAGGAUAGAUGGCAGCAGGAGCUCAGGGGAAGUGCAGGACAAAAUCUUACUCUGAGUUCAAUCUAUUUUAUCAGAUAUAUCAAUGAACGAUGGCUGGAGUUCAGACAGGGUCACAUACCAGCCUCUGCUUUAUUUCUCUGGGGUAUUAGGAGUCGGGGGUAGAAGAUAUAGAAGGACAGUAGAAAUUCCUAUUCUAGAGAUGUAAUAAUACUAGUAUGUAAGGGUGGGGGUGAGUGGUAUCUCUCCCAGUUCCACAAAUCCACAUUUAGUCAAAGUACGUGGCUAUAAAAGAGAAUUUCCCAGCUUGGAACAUACAGACCACAACUACUACCUUGGAAAAUAGAAAUGAAAAUAACUCACUCAAAAGAAGAUCCUGGUGGCCUUUUCACCAAUUAAGACUUUGGUUUUCAAGAAGCUAAGUUAAGCAGGACCAAGUCACCAAAUGUGAUGUUUCUGCCCCACCUCUGGUCAGAGUUAUGAGUCAAUACCUUGCAGUAAGAUUAGAUAAACCCAGGAAUGGUCAGAAUAACCUUUCAUUAGAAUAAAUGAAUUCUAAUUAAAGGUAGAAAACUAUAGAGAUUUAGAACUAACAGAAAAUUUAGAUAGAAUUUCUUCAUCUCACAGAUCAAAGAAUUGAAGGGAAGUGACCUGUCCAAAGUUACAUACUUAGCAGUGCUGUUAAGUACUAUGUUCAAGGUACAGCACUAACUACCCACAAAACCAGAUGAUAAAAAAUCAUUUCUCUUUGGCUUUGAAGUGCAUAUACUACCUUUUUACCCUCUCUAAUUGUUGUUUGUUCUCUGUUUUUUGGAUGAAUUGGAUCUAAGUGAGACAGCUAUACCGAGUCGUCAGCCUCAAUCUCUCUUCCAAAAUCAUCCAAGACCAGUGGCAAGACAAAAUUCAGGAUGACUGGUGAUGCCCCAGGAUGUGGUGGAUGACCAUGGCAUCUUCAAUGUCUGACCAAGCUCUAAGCUCUCCAGAGAGCCUACUUUAGCUGCCUUCAUGGCUUUUGGAACAAAUUUUUCUUAUUCAUCCCAAUCUGCCAACGGAAGACUUCAUGAGUUUGAGGCCUGCCAGAUACCCUGAUUUAAUCCAUUUGUUGGCAGGGCACGCAGGUGGGUAGCUGUAAUAUAAUAUUAAGGCAGAGUUAGAAUUCUGAGCACAACAUAGAAGGGCAAGAACCAAAAUCAAACACCUUUUAAAUGGAGAGAUUUGUUCUCCAGCCUUUUGGGGACUACUGUGCUUACUAAUUCAACCAUUUCUUGUCCCAAAAUUGAGUCCAAAUUUAGAAUAGUCAAAAUGCUAGCUAGCUCUAUCUGAAGUAGAAACUUUUCCACAUGUGGAAUGACCUCUAUGCUUUGUAGGACAAAAUACCAUGAAAGUGUUUUGAAAAUACCAUACAAGCCUAGAAUCCUUAUCUUUCUUUAAGGUUCAACUCUGAGAUCACCUCUUUCUAUUUUCCCAGUUUUAAAAAUUCACUUCCUUCUCAAAUUAUUUUCUGUUUAUUUAAGUGUUGGUGAUAUUUCCUCUUUCCAUCCUCCACCCCUCCUUUAAGGCAAGGACUAUUUUAUUUCUGUCUUUGUAUAUCUAGCACCUAGCAGUGCCUGACACAAAGUAGACACUUAAUUAUUAUGUGUCAAAUUUUUUUAAAGUUUCCUGAUCACCAAUAACAGUAUUAGUGCUAAAGACAGAAAAUGAUAUCUCAUAUUUGAAUGUCUCAUAGUGCUUCAUCCUUAUUUCUCAUGCAUUAACAAAAUGCUUAUUAAUAGUUAUUUGUGUCCUUUUCUUAACUAAUCUUCCAUACUACCUACCUAAGAGGCUUAUUGUGACAAAAGUGCUAGGUAAACCUUAAAGAACCAUAUAAAAGAAUUAUUAAAAGCUUCUUGAGGGUAAGGAUCCAGCCUUUUUUUUAAACUUUUGUAUUCCCAACACAGAGUUUUUGUUAUAUGAUAGUUAUGUGAAAAGUAAGCAGGACGAGCACUGUUUCAAAAACUUGAUUUUAAAUAAUAUUUGACUAUUGGAGUUAUAGUCCCCCCCAAAACUUCAAUGGUCCUGAAUAUAUGGACAGACUAGACAGUCAGGAAGAUCUGAGACCAAAUUCCACCUCUGAAAUUUACUAUAUCCCUGUGCCUCAAUUUUCUUGUAUGUAAAAAAAGGGGGGGAGGAGGAGAACUCAAUGGCUUCUCAAGACCUCUUUCUAGCUAUGAUUCUAUUGUUGCAGGAAGUGGUACCUGAGCUAUCCUUUUAAGGAUGUUGGGAAUUACAAGAUUCCUUUCUUUCUCUAUAGGAAGCCAGAUUGUGGUCAGAUAAGGAAAUUUCAGAGUUUAUGAACAAUGAAAUUUGUAGGUAAUGGCAAGAGCUGAGGUGAGGUAGAGGACAAAGUCAUGAGAAAUAACUAAAUGGAAGAAGUAGAAGGUUAGAGCAUUUUAGAUUAUCUAUUUAUCUAUCUAUAUGUAUAUAUGUAAAUAUUACAAAUAUCUCAUGUCAGUAUACUUACUGAUAUGAUAUGACACAGGAAGUCCUCUAAUGUGAGAACAGGAGGCAUACAGGAAAGACUGGGAACAAGGUCCUGAAUUCAUUGAGGAAAGAAAAUAUCCUGAGGGUUGGGAGACAACAGCUACCAGAAUUUGUGGAAAGAAUUGAACAGUAUGGGAGAAGGGGGGAUCCACAUGACUGAAAGGAAUACUUAAACUUAUGAAAUCACAGAUAUAGCCAAGAAUUCAAGAGCUACUAAUAAUUUUACAAAUGGUAUCCUGACUAAAUUGGUGAUGGGAGAAAGUGGAUGGAGAAGAAGAGGAAGGACCAUCAAAAUAUUACUGUGAUUGUUUUUUUAGGAGAGUGAUAAUAGGGAACAUAGAAUCUUAGAACUAUAGGUAAUAUAUAUAUAUAUAUAUAUAUAUAGGUUAUAUAGUUUAUAGAUCAGCAAAUCCAGCUCUUUCAUUUUAUAGAUGAAUUACUAAACAAAUAUAUAUAGUGACCUAUUUAAGAUAGGUCUCCAUUUAAAGUCACACUGCAUAAAGUUGGAUCUAUUUAAAGAUCUAUUCCUUAUGAAACUCUAUAACAACUAUAACAAUGCUUAGCAUUUAUAUCAUGUUUUAAGGAUUACAAAGUGCUUUACAAAUAUUACAUAAUUUUAUCUUCACAAUAACUCUGGAAGGUAGGUGCUAUUUUUAUAUCCUCAUUUUAGAAAUGAGGAAACUGAGGCAGACAGCAAUUAAAUGACAUGGAUAGGGAUUUGAAUUUGGGACUUCCUGACUCCAAAUCUAUCACUCCUACCAUUCAACCACCUACCUGUCCUUAGUUGAGACUGCAACUAUUUAAAAUGGAGUCUGAAUUGCCAUUGCAUAUCCUGUUAGUCUUCCUCCCUUUUCUUCCUUUUAAUAUGAUGUCCCUUCUUCUACCUGGCAAUCUUUGCAUAUCAGUCACUUAAAAAAUUUAAUAUCCUUUGUUAUUACAUAUGCAUUUCCCAAGAUAUUCCUACCCUUUACCCCAGGAGGUCGUCUUUUUAAGAAUACAACAGAGGGGAAAUAGUUUAGAAAAAUAAUUAGCAUGUCAAAAUCUAGUACUAUACUCAUCUACAUGGCCUCACAUCUCCACAAAGCUGGGGAGGGAAGAAGCAGGGGAGAUGGGGGGGGAGAGGGAGGGAUCUUCUCCAUUCUCAUUUUUGGACUUAAACUUAGUCUUUAUAAUUUCACAGAAUUUGGUUUCAAUUAUUCUGUUAUUCUUUCCAGUUAUAUUGUUAUAGUCAUUGUGUAUAUUGUAUUACUGGUUCUGCUUUUACUUUACUUUGUUAUCAGUUCACAUCUUCCCAAACAAAUAUGUGUUUUUUAUCUUCAUCGUUGUUUACUACCACAGCAAUUGUUUCAUUAAAUUAAUGCCCCACAAUUUAUUUAACCUGAUUUAUGGGCAUCUACUUUGUUUUCAAUCCUUUCCUACCAUGAAAUCAGUUGAUCUUUCUGUUUCUAAGGGUCAAAGGUAGGAAUAGAAAAGAAUAGCAAAAUAUUUGAGGGAGAAAGAUCUGUCAGAUGAUCAUUACUUGAAUUAUUAAGAGUUGAUUGUAUACCUUUUAAGGUGAUCAGGGAAUAAAGGAAAAGAACCUAUAAACUCUAAAAUAUUUAUAAAGGCUCUCUUUUUAGUGGCAAAGAACUGGAAAUUGAAGUGAUGCCCAUCAACAGGAGAAUGGAGGAACAAGUUGUGGCACAUGAUUGUAAUGGAAAGUGCUGUAUUGUGCUAUAAGAAAUGAUGAGCAGUGUAAUGUAAAAAAAAAACAAACAUGGAAAGACCUACAUGAAAUUUUGAUGAGUGAAAUGAGCAUAACCAAGAGAACAUUAUAAACAAUAACAGAAAUAUUGUUUGAAGAAUGACUUGUGUAUGUCUACUUUAAGAGAAAUGAUAAAUAGAAAUAAGUAAGACAUAUAUAUAUGUACAUAUAUAUGUAUAUGUAUACAUAUAUAUUUUUCCUCAAAUGAGCCUUCUUUAAUGGGAGAGGAGGGAAGGAGUUACCUGGGUAUUUGAAUGUAACAAACAAAUUUAAAUUAAAAAAAAAAAAAGAGUGGCUAUGCUUUUCUGUAAUCUAAACUAUACAUAUGGUUGAUCCAAAGGUUUCAUCCAAUUUCAAGCCUGAUUAUAAAGUCAGUCCCAAGAUGGUACAUAAACUCCCUAUUGGAUAAGAGCACCACAUUUACAAAGCAUUUUUAAGCAUUAUUAUGCCCAUUUUACAAAGGAGGAAAUUAAGGUUCAAAGAAAUUAAGCAAUUUACUCAUAGAUACACAUCUAACAAGUAUUAGAGAUUAGAUUCAAACCCAGGUCCUUCUAAUUCCAAACUAGUGCUCUUUCAAUUACAUCCUCCUAUGACGGUCUCAGUCUAAUGCAGGGCUCAAUUAAGGGUCUGUAACAUUUUCAGGUAUAAAGAUGAAAUCACCUUUAUUUUUUACUCAUACUUUACUAUCUGGGACAGGCAUGAUAUAGCACUCCUCUCUACUACUUGCUAAGAUAGGCAGGAACUAUAAAAAGGAUGAACUUAAAUUCAUCUAUUGGGAUAUUUAUUAGUAGCGCUGGCAAAAGAAGUUGAGUUCCUGGCUGAAUCUCAGGUAUUGGGGUAAUUUGUGGGUUUUUGUCAUCUAUACCUCUACUGUGCCCUAUGAUCACUGAUAUUAAGAAGCCAAAAAUGAAUAAAGGAGUUUGAUCUGGUAGAUCCUUCACAUUCUGAAAACUUUGACUUGAGACUAAAUUAUGCCCUAGCCACUAAUUGCCUACCUUUCCUGGGUUGGGGGGGGGGUAGAAAAAAGAAGAGAUUUCUAUGAACCAGCAAGGUAUGCCAUCUAUAAUGUUCUGAGGUCAGGAAGAAAAGAGAGAACACAGUUUCUGAUUUGGGUGUCUUAUUUACAUUGUUCUUUCCUGGGGGAUCUCAGGUCUUCCUUUCAAUUGCCAUUCAAUGUUGGUAGCCCCAGUGUACCUCUGUUUGGCUUUCAAGACAACAGCAUCUGGCCCAAAAGCAAUAUUUUCAUAGCUUUCCAGGAGAUUCCCUCUUUCCUUUCCUCCCUUUUUAGUCCAGGCCUUUGAGCUGAAAAAUUUUGCCUGCUGCCUUUAUAACCAUGCAGGGAAACCACAGACCUCCCUUCCAUACAGUAGCUACACUCAAAACAGCAAUACAGGAAAGACAGAUCAUAGCCUAGUUUGGCCUCUAGAUGACAUCUAGAGACUUGUGGUACAGUUUGGACAGUGAGACCAUUCAUCACCCAAAGUUUUCCAUGCCCUUUGCUCCAGGUGAUAGAAACCAACCAAUAGGCAGCAAAGUCACACAGAGCUUUUUCAACAGAGGCAAUACUCCCCAUGCACCCAAAGGAACACCUCUCUUCCCCUUCCAUAUCAAGAUAAAGUAACUAUAAAGCUGGCUGGGAAAAUUCCCUUAGAUGCCAGGUUAUUGAGUAGAGCAACUAAAGCAGUGGCUCACAAACAUUUUCUUGAUGCAACCCUAAACUGAAUGCCAAUGAGGUUUUGAGGCAGUAACGCCCUAAUGGGAACUGAAAUGGGUUAUACCCGGGUUUUUUUAAUGGCACUCAACUAUCAAUUCACAAUAUAUUAAUAUGGUACUUUAACCUUUAAAGUUACACCUUAAAAAAGCAUCAAGUCCAAGAAGAGCCUAAGCAGGAGGAAUCCCAGAUGGGUGCUAUCUCUGUGGAUCACAUGACUCCCACCAAUAAUGCCUUGAAAACGAACCAUUGAUCAACCAACCUAAACUCCUUGCUGUUCCUCAAAUAACAGCAUCCUAUCUUUGCAUUAGCUAUACUUCCUCCUUGCUCCCGUAAUGUCCUUCAAGGUCUAGAUACUCAACUGUUAACUUCUUCAUGGAGCCUUUUGAAAAUCCCCAUGUAGAGGCAGCUUGGAAUACCACUUUCUGGGGGAAUUAUGAUAAGGCACUCUGGGCAGAGGAACUCUGUUACAUGAACACAAAUGUUGCCUCCAAAUAAACUAAAGACUCCUUAAAGGAAGAGACUGUUGUUACUUUUGUUUGGGAUGGAGGAGAGGUUUAUCCCUAGAGUCAAGAAUCAUGCCUAGCACAUUGAAUAGUCAAUAAAUGCUUGUUAAUUGGCAACAUUUUGAUGUGAAAAUAGACAAAUUUCCUCUGUAUUUUUCAACUUUAUUCUGGAGUUAUCCCAUAUCCCCAGGCCAGUAUUUUAAAAAAUGUUAUCAAUAUAUUUAAACUUUAGGCAUCAGGGCUAUGAAGCCAAACAAUGAAAUGAUCCCUGCUCUUGAGGAGUUUAUAUCCUGUGAGAAACAGGUACCUGUAUAAUAUAAAAUAUAUACAAAUUAAAUGAAAAAUGAUUUGGAGAAAGCAAACAAAUGGAAUCAUUAAAAGCUUAGUGAAAGAGGAGGACUUUGAACUGAAUCUUGAAGAGUGAGGGACUGUAUAUUACAAAGUGGACUAUUUUAAGUAUGGGGGAUGGGAUAAAUGACUUUGUGAGAUAGGAGAUGGAAUGAUGAGUAUUGUUUUUUAAUCAUUUCAGUCAUAUCCAACUCUUCACAAUGCCAUUUGGGGUUUUCUUGGCAAGAUAUUAGAGGGAUUUGCCAUUUCCUUCUCUAGCUCAGUUUACAGAUAAGCAAAGCAAACAGGAUUAAGUGACUUACUCAAGGUCACACAGCUUGUAAGUGUAAGGCCAGAUUUGUCACUGCAUGACCUAGCUGCUCUGGAACAAUGGGUAAAAAAAAUAGCAAAUAGACCAUGUCGGUUGGAAUGGUAUAUGUAGGCAAAUAAUGUGGAAUCAGUCUGAAAAGCUAGGGGACAGCCAGAUUAUGAAAUGCUUCCAGUGCUAACCAGAGGAAGCAGAAAAUAAAAUAAGAAGUGACUAUUACUAAAGUAUCCUCUAGCCUAGGUAAUUUGGAAAAUGCUAGCAUACUACCUUGCACCUGUAAGGUUCUUAAUAACUGUUUGCCGAAUUGGAUAGUCUCUCAGCUAGAUCCUAGACACAAAAUUCCAUGACUUUAUCAUUAUAAGUGAGAGCCAGGAUCAUACGGGUAGUAAAUGAAUCAAGGCUUAGAGCCCAGGUUUCCUGGCUUCCCGUGUUCACAAUGAGUCUAAACAUGAGAAAAAAAGUGGUUGUACCUUAAGAAUCUCAACAGAUAAAGUCAUAUUCAUAAUAUUGUACACUCAAUGUGGUAACUCACAUAACUAGGAUACUCAGUUAAUCAAAAUUGAAUGCAAGAUGUUUAGAAUUUGAAGAUAGUAAUAGUUAGCCUGACUUUUUUUUUUAACCUUUAUCUUCUAUUUUAGAAUCAAUAUUAAGUGCACAAAGAAGAAUGCAGGAGAAUGGUAAGGUCCAAGCAAUGUGAUUUGAGUGAUUUGCCCAGGGUCACACAGUGUCUGAGGUCAAAUUUGAACACAGGACCUCCAGGCUCUAGGUCUGGCUCUCAACCCACUGAGCCACCUAGCUGCUCCUAACCUGACCUUUUCCCAAAAUCAGUCUAGUAACCAAAGCUUCUCUCUCAAGCUAUAGUUCUAUUCACUUGGGUAGGAGGAUAUUUGUAUUGAUAUUAUUGUCCAUAUCUAGUAACUAAGACCUCAGAAAGACUUUCUACAUAUUAUAAUCUAAGAUAGUGUGGCCAUCAUGUACAACAGGAAGUGUAUACUACCUGAUAAAGGAGAAAUUUGAGACAGAAUUUCAAAGAUAUGAAUAGAAAUAGCCACUUUUGUUCAGAUCAGUAGAUCAUUUGAUUCAUCUUACCUGAAAUGGAUGUAGUUUGGAGACCUGUACUAUGAGAGACAGAGUGAGAACAAGAGAAAAGACUGCAGCAGAAUUCUGAGAAAAAAGGGGGGAGGGUGAGAAUGAAGAAGGGGGAGAAGAAAGGCUUUUAGAAAUUUUUCAUCAAGGCAUUUACCAAGGGUCAUACCUACUACCUCUUGACUACCUUUACUUGUUUCAGGUGAUGACUUUCAUUCAAUAGAAGAUAAUAAUUCUUCCCUAACUAAAACUUCAUUUUUUUAGGAUCUGUGCAACCACAGUAAAAGAUUCAAAAGUGAUCAUUCAUUUCACAUUCAGGGGGUGCUUCUAGGUUUCUCAAGGAAAUCAGUUAGGGGUAAAAGACUGUCUUAUUUAUCUUUUUUUAAUCUCCUUUUAUCUUUGCAUGUUAUCAUGUGGUAUUACAUGUGUGUAUGUAUGUGUACAUGAUAGUGAGCAUUCACAUUCUUCACUGUUAAUGAGUUUAAACACUUCUCCCUACCAAAGAGAACUCCAAAAGUCUUUCCCUUUGUCUAAUCUCAAAUUUACCACAUUUAAAAUAAGAUUCAUCCUCCCUACCUAAGCUAACUAUCUUUCCUAACUUUCUCAUUUUGGUCAAUGGCUUCACUUUCUUCCAGAAUUUAGGAAACAAAUUCUUGGAGUCAUAAGAUUUAGAGUGGAGUGUUCGCCAUUUAAUUGAGUCUACUCCAAAGAUAGUAAGUAGCAAAUCUUUUGGCUUCAUAUCCAGUGAGUGUUCUUCCUCUUACACUGUCUCCUUUCUUGAAACUACCAAAUGUUAAAUAAAUGUUACAGUACCACUUUUACUGAAAAUUUUUCUAAAAUGGUUUACAUACUUCCUGCCUUUUAAAAGGGCAGAUACUGAGCAUAAUUUAACCUUUUUCCUGAUGACUUGGAUUUGUGACAAGGAAAUCACUUUAAAAGACUGAUAUAUAUUAAUUUAAGGUCGCCAAGGAAUUCAGCUAUGUAAUUCCUAAAUGAAAACUCAAGUCAGCAGUCAACCUUUUAUGGAGUUUAAUUACAAACAGGAAGAAGAAAGGAAUUAGAGAGAGAGAGAGGGAGAGAGAAAGGGGAGAGAAGGGAAUAGGGCUUAAAUACCCCCUCUGUUUAGGCUGGGCCAAAAGGCCCAAGCCCUUAGAUAGCUGGGGCAAAGAAAAGAGAUCAGUCCCUAUUACUCACAUGACCAAAAUGGAGAAACAGUCUCAAAGACCCCCACCUUCAGCUUCCUUCAGAGCAAGCUUCUCAGAGCACACUCCAACCACUCAGACAAACUCCUCUAACCACCUCCAGUCCUCAGACCCCUCUCUCUUUCAGGAAACCAUCCAAGUUCCCUCCCCUCAGUUCUCACAUCUACCAAUCACUGUCCAUCAUUUUCCCUAUGCCAAUGGUGGCUCUAGCUUAACCCAGGACCGCCCAGAGGUCUGGGCUUUGCACAUGUCUGUUGGAGGUCAUAUUCUCAAAUAAUUAAAUUUUGAUCUAUGCUGCAGCCCUUCCUAAAUCCUGUUAGGACUGAGUGGGGUGGAAAUUGUAUUUUCCAAGACCUGAUUCUGUCAUUCCAAGUAUCUCUAUUGUAUCAAUUCUAAAAUCAAUCAUGACUCAAAGAAAUUCCUGUUCUGUGCUUAAGCAUAGGUCAGAGCCCUUUCCAUUGUUCAGCAAAAGGUUUCUGUCCUAAAGUAAUCUUAAGAAGGGAGGAGGAGGAACCUCCCAUGCCAAUGGGGUUCACAUUCCAAUACACUAUCAGUAAGAAAUUUUCCAAGUAUGAAAUUUCCCAAUGGUAAAAUUUCCAACAUUUAUAAGUCUAAGAAAUUUUAAGGUUUACAGAUUCAUCAUCAUGUGUAAAAAAUAGACUCGAAUACAGGACUACAAUCCCCAUGAGCCUUUGCUCCACUUCCCCAGAAUGCCUUGUAAUCUCACCUGGGCCGAGAUCGAGAAGAUAUUUAAGCAAAGGCUUUUGAAGGGCUCGGGCCUUUUUUGGACUUCCGUUUUUGGAGCAGAGAGGUCUCUUCCAUGAUGUGAGGUUAUUUUGUCUAGGCCUCUGGCCUAGGCACAUGUUUCAUACUUGUAUAUUCUUAAUCUUUAACCUUUAAUAAACCUCUAAAAAAUAUAUAUUCCUUGCAGAGAGAAACUAAUUUCUACCUGCCUCAGUCUCCCCAUCUCCCCGUAUUCCUAAAUUUUAAUCCUUACAGUUGGCGAGCCACUACGGGAAAAAAAGAACUUUCAAUCUUCUGAUUUCUUUUCUGAUCUUAAAUUCAGUUUUAAUAUCUAGUACCUAGAAAUUUUUUUGAGCCAUAACUCUCUGGCCAAGGUUUUCUACCCUCGCAAAGCUGCUACAGGCUCCGGACCUGCUGCCCACCCCACCUGGCUCGGCCCCGACGCUUCCUGCCUGCAGCCUGCAGCCCUGAUCAUCCUCACCUGGUACCUGGUCCCGGCCUUGCCCACGCCCGCAGCCACUCCUGCUCCUGGCCUCUCACCAGCCGCUGCCUGCCUAUUUCUGCGCCCCAGACCCACAAGCGUGACCCCAGCCGGCUCAUCACCCAGAUCCUCGGAGCAGAUCGCUCAGGACUCAUUGCGACCAGCUGGUAACAGUAUUGGCCACGUGGGCAGAGGGGAGAGAAGAGAGGGAAAGGAGACCGGGUACUUUUCCCUUAGGCUAAGCCUCCACGUGGAUGGGGGUAUUGGCCACAGGGGCAUCAGAGAGGGGAAAGACAGAAAAGACUAGAGAGAAGAAACAGACUUUUCAAACAGAAACCUAAAAAGCAAUGGGCUGUUUAAAAGGAUUUUUGACUCUUCUGGCAAUUUCAUUGAUUUUACCUGCCUGUCUGGGAACAGACUCAGCCCAAAGAUUCAACUUUAACUUUGGGGAGGAAAAUGGGUGGCCCAGCGAACUGGAAGCCAGGCCCAGAGACGGGAGGUCUCUAGUUAAAAUCUGGCCUCCGAUGCUUCCCAGCUAUGGGGCCCUGGAUGGAUCCCUUGAACCCCAUAGCCUAGCCUUUACUACUCUACCUUCGGACAAUAGACAUUUAAAUGGAUAAUUAAAAACAAAAACAAACAAACAAACAAAAAAAAAACCCCUAAGGAACUUUGAAGAGACUAAAGGCUACAUUCUAAGGCAUUUCAGACUCCAAUGGUUUAUAAACAUCUCUGUAUUCUAUUGCAUUGUUUUGUUUAAGAUAUAACUUUGUGAUUUUAAGUUCAUAUAUUACUGGAUUGAAUAUUAUUCUGUGAACUGAAGGUUGAUUGAAUUUAUUUUGAAUGUACUGAGUUUUGAAAUUCUGUUGUUUUUCCCCUAUAACUGUUGAACAAAUAUUGUUGUGAAUAAGCCCAUAUAUGAAAAAACAGCUUUUUUCUAUUUUGCUGAGGAUAGAUGGACUUCAGAACUGGUUAUAAUUGUAUUAACAACCUUUGAAAAUUUAAUGUGCUAAAUACCUCAAAUGAUUUGAUUUUAAGGGUUUUUUAAAUAUGAUUUUGGAAUUUUUUUUUUAACAGUCUGGUUAUUUUUGCCUGCCCCUACCACGAGGUAAGGCCCAUUCUAGUAGCUGAAGUGAAAUGUAUUUUAUAACCCCCAACCUUCCCACAUGCGAAUGGAAGUUGGGCAGUUAAUUUCAGGGCAUUUGUACCCUUGGGAAAAGCCUCCAAGAAAAAGGAUCACUCCUUUAUUUAUGCUCUUCAGCUCACUAUUUUACUUCUACCAGGAUGAUAUAUAGAUUUCUUGAUUAUGUUCUUAACCCAAGAUGAGUUUUACUUUGUUUUAAAAAAAAUAUAUGUUUAUUACCAAGGUUGAAAGAUUGCUACGUUUGUAAAAAUUGUGACAAAUGUCCAUCAAUUCAUAGGUUUUAAAAAUGUCACACAGCAACUUAUGUGAAAUAUGAAAGUGUGUUUGCUAUUGUAAUUAAUUGGGCUAUUGAGAAUUUUGGGGAUUUUGAUCAAUCACCCACAACACGGGGGAAUGUAAAAAAUAUCAUUAUUUAAAUUGCAAAGUUUAAAUUCCUUUUGAGAAGAAUUUUAGGUAAAGAAGAUGCUACCUCUCUGAAUCCAGAACUGAACUGUUGGAGAAGCCACCAUGAAGAAGCCUCCAGACCACAAGUUGCACAAAAUUGAACUUUGGGUGUGGUUGAUUGAACAUUUAUUUGUAUGUAUACUUUUAUGCCAAAGGGGACUGCCCCCUAACGGCUUUUUGUCAAUGUGUUCAGAAAUUAUUGGUUUUAUUCUUUUUUCUCUUAUCCUCACACUAUUGUAAUCUUUUAAGUUUAUUAUGUUUUUAUGAUCCUUUUGGGGAAAAAUUAAUUUUUCCACAAAUGAUCACACGGGGGGAUGUAAAAAAUAGACUCGAAUACAGGACUACAAUCCCCAUGAGCCUUUGCUCCACUUCCCCAGAAUGCCUUGUAAUCUCACCUGGGCCGAGAUCGAGAAGAUAUUUAAGCAAAGGCUUUUGAAGGGCUCGGGCCUUUUUUGGACUUCCGUUUUUGGAGCAGAGAGGUCUCUUCCAUGAUGUGAGGUUAUUUUGUCUAGGCCUCUGGCCUAGGCACAUGUUUCAUACUUGUAUAUUCUUAAUCUUUAACCUUUAAUAAACCUCUAAAAAAUAUAUAUUCCUUGCAGAGAGAAACUAAUUUCUACCUGCCUCAGUCUCCCCAUCUCCCCGUAUUCCUAAAUUUUAAUCCUUACACAUGAAAAUAUACAAAAAUUAUGCUUUAUUAUAAUCCAAUGAUAUUCCCCAUCCCUUCUAUUUUAUGGUUCUGAAUCUACUAUAGACUAUGAAACCAUUUAAAGUGGCUAGUUCAAACUGUAUCUAAAGCGGGAUAACUAGGUGGCUUGGAAGAUAGAGAGCUAGGACAAGAGACAGGAAAUCCUGGGUUCAAAUCUGCCCUCGGACAUUUCCUAGCUGUUUGAUCCUGGGCAAUUCACUUAACUUCAGUUUCCUAGCCAUUAUCACAUUUCUGCCUUGGAACUGAUAACAUAGUGUCAAUUCUAAGAUAGGAGGUAAGGGUUUUAUUAAAAAACAAACAAAACACAAAACUAUAUCUAAAAGCAAGAACAAAUGGUCUCUUUGACUGGAGUCUUCUUAAAGUAAACUACAAUGAGUUUUAAUAUAUAGUCUUUAUAACAUGUUUUGAUUGCUCAGGAGCCUUAUUUGCUUACUUUAUAGUUCUUGGAUAUAUUCUAUAUUUAAGAUUACUGGGAAAAUGACUUCCAGUUAAGUGAGAUAUUAUUUCAAAAUUUUAUCUGGUUUCCAAAUUGUUUCAUAUAUGUGAGUCUUGUUUCUCCAUUGUUGUGAGCUCUCUCAGGGCAAGAACCAAUCAUCAUUUUAAAAAAUAACCACCCUAGCACUUUGCAGAAUACUUAAUAAAUCUUUGCAAUACUGAGAUAAUAGAUUCAAUUGAUUCAUGUGAAUGACCCAUGAUAAUAAUAAAAGCAUUUUUGAACAUGAUUUGCAUCACCUCCUUUUCUUUCAAAACUAGAACUGACUUAUUUCUGCUGACCAAUCUCUCCCCAAAUAACUCUAGAACAGUAGUCCCUAAUCAGCUAUAACUAUGUUCACCUUAUGAAUAAGCAGAAAUUUUUACCACUACUCCUCUCCUGCCAUAAUUUUUGUAUCCUGGGUUUGCUUUUAUCUCAUAAACCUUAUAAACUUAGACAACACUAAAAAGAGACUACCAAGGUAUGAAGUGCCUAGAACUUUAUAGGGGCCUCUGUUACCUACUUCCUUGAACAAAAUAUCUCAUCACUUCACCAUAACAAAAGCUCCCUAAACAGAUGGUGACCAAAUAGCAAUGCCCUCACAAUGGGAAAAAAAAAUCUGGGAAAGGAAUUGUACCAAUGAGAAACAGGCCACCAAAGAGAUAUAGGUGGAGUUUUUCUUGCCAAAUGACCAAAGGUAGUGGAAAUAAAUGCUCUCUCAUUUUCUUUGGCAGCUCCAGAAUUUUCUCUGGCCUGCUAUGUCAGGCUGUUGCCAUAGGAACAACAGUGUUCUGAUGCUAUGACAGCGAGGCAGAGGGUGAAAUCAGGGGCAUAGACAAGCUGGCAAAGGGGAAAAUGUCCAAUCAGAAUGCUCAUGUACCUCCAACCAGAAAAAAGCUACUCCUAAAAAAUUAGGAUGAGGAAAGAGGGAAAAUGGAUCAAAAUAUUCUUGAAAAUAAAAAAUAAUCACAUCUAAAAUAUAGAUCCUUACAGAGACAUCCACAGUGCUAAAGGUUUUUAUAACCUAUGACUCCUAACACUAUAUGAUUAAUUAUCUUAUUGUCACUAAGGGUGUGCAAGAACCAGCUUAAACUGACUGAAUUGUUUUCAAUAUAAGCAUUUAUACUACAGAAGACUACAAAUUAGGGCUUGAUUUAUUGUUUAGUUGAUUAUCCAGGCUAAUGAAAGUGUUCAUAAUAAAGAUUAAACUUAAAUGUAUAAUGUGAAUACAUCUAUCCCUCUCCACUUGGUUGCUAAAUAUCUAACAGGAGGGUAAGGGACCUCAGCAGUGUAUUCUUAACUUUACAGCA